rnacentral:rRNA from 1 species
GCGGGUGGCUAUGGCUAGGGUGAUCACCUCUUCCCAUUCCGAACAGAGCAGUUAAGCCCCGAAGCGUUGAUGGUACUGGCGUAACAGCUGGGAGAGUAGAUGCCGCCCCGC